GAAAUAGCUUAAGCAAAUUAUCAGAAGAAGACCUUCAAAGCUGCAAUCGGUGAAAUUCACUAUAAGAAUUGGUACCACAAGGCCACAAAGGGAGGAGUUCAACUUACUCGUGGAUGAUGUUCAAAGCUGAGGAGAGUGAGAGCUUAAAUCUAUAAAACGGGUCAAAAACUUUUGAUAUAGAAACUGUCAUAAAUUCUUCAGUUAAUUGAAAGAGGGCAAGUUGUACAAAAUGCCAUGGAGCUAAAUAUACAUGGAGAAGAAACUGUGAUGUCACACAGUUAAAUUCAGUAUUGUGUUCAGAAUUGUGGCAGAAUUGUGUUCUUAUAAGUUAUCAUAUGUCGGGGAUUUUCAGAGAUUUGAUGCAUCCUGGGUAAAAAUAGCCAAAACACCGUCAUAUUGAAUUCCCGGAGGAAGAUGAAACAUUUUUUUGCUUAAAUAAGAAGCAAUAGUUAUUUAUCGUAAAAGGUACUAUACACACUUUUCUAUACAAAUAUUUCUCUGAUGAAAAUCUAUGUAGGGGUAUGUAAACAAUAAUUCAUGGAUAUCGUCCAAGUUUAACGAGAGUGCGAAAAUUGGAGACUAUCGGGAAAACCCAAUUAUCACCGAAGCCUGCAAAGGAUUGUGGGUCUGAAUCUGACUAUUAUCUAUUUUUAGAGCUUCCUAUCUGUUGUGUGUAUAUAUCUGUGAAAAUGCAAAGAAGUCGUUGGAUUACCAAAGAUCAACAUUUCAUUUGAUUACCAGAGAUCAUCAAUUCACUGGAUUAAAGAUUUGAUGACAAGAAAAUUAUUAAACCGGCAAAAAUUGGAUCUUACAGCAAGGAUUUACUCAUUUCAGAAGACAGCAAUAGAAAAUGUAGGAGUUGCAUGUAAUACUGGAGGUUUCUUGCGUCAUGUUUUGUACUGUUUCAGUGACAUUUCUUAGACUGUUUAAGUGAUGUCCCUCAUUCAAUCAGUUAAGAAAAUGAUGAAAAGCAAAUUAAAAUCUAGGAGUGACCUAGUCAAGUAUUAUAAUGUUUUAACUUUUAGUGCUAAAUUCAAAGAGGUGUCACAUGUUACACUAUUUUAAAAAAGGAAUCUUAAGUCAAGUGUUAUUGCCAAAGCUCAUUGCAUUCCAGUAACUACAAUGAUAUAUCUAAAGAAGUGUGUCUAAACAAUACAAAAACAAUUAAACUGUAAGGAAAAUACUUUGUUUCAUAUGCAAUCAUGCUUUUUAUUAAAUUUAAUAGUUUGCUUAUGA